UACCAGCUCUUCGAGUGGUGUGGAUGUUUAUUGGGCCUAAAGCAUCCGUAGCUGGCUGGGCAAGUCCCCUGUUAAAUCCACCGAUUUAAUCGUUGGAGUGCGGGGGAUACUGUUCGGCUAGGGGACGGGAGAGGCAGACGGUAUUUUCGGGGUAGGGGUGAAAUCCUAUAAUCCCGGGAAGACCACCAGUGGCGAAGGCUGUCUGCUAGAACGCGCCCGACGGUGAGGGAUGAAAGCUGGGGGAGCGAACCGGAUUAGAUACCCGGGUAGUCCCGGCUGUAAACGAUGCAGGCUAGGUGUUUGGGCGGCCACGUGCCGCUCUAGUGCCGCAGGGAAGCCGUUAAGCCUGCCGCCUGGGGAGUACGGCCGCAAGGCUGAAACUUAAAGGAAUUGGCGGGGGAGCACCACAAGGGGUGAAGCUUGCGGUUU
rnacentral:rRNA from 1 species